AACUAAGAAUGACUUCUUCUUGUGUGACGGCUGCCGAAUUAUCACAUUUUUUCGAGCGGCUUGAUCAUGAGCAAGCCAAGCCCAUUGUCAAUC
rnacentral:ribozyme from 1 species